GCUGCUGGAACGUUUCAGGUGGACAGAUCUGGGUUCAGGGGAUCGGACCCGAUGCUGUAAGUCUGAGAUUUUACCUUCUGUUCGUUUACAGACGGUCGCAACAACCUGAUCUUUUCACUUCACAAAUUUGUACUUAGAUUUCUGAGUUUUAAAUAAGUAGAAAAACAUUCUUAACACGGUCGUUCCUGUCGACGGGCCGUUUUCUUGGGAGGAAUCAGGUCUGAUCUUAGAGCAGAUGCAGCUAUCUUCAGCCUGAGGAAACACCUGAAGACGUCAGCAGACCAGCUAUGAGGACAACAGAGGACCUCCUGAACAUCCUGGAAGAUUUGCGAGAUGAAGAACUUGAUAAAUUCAAGUGGUUCCUUCAGCAGCCCGAGAGCCUUGAAGGUUUCCCAAACUUUAAAAAGUGUCAGCUGCAGACGGCCAGCAGGCUGGACAUCGUGGACCUGAUGGUUCAGACCUACAGGCUUCGGAGCGCUGUGGAGGUCACCAGGAUGGUUCUAGAGAAGAUCAACAGGAACGACUUGCUACAGAGUUUGGAACGAGAAGUGGAUGGAGAUGAUGUUGAGAAACCGCUGAACAGCGCAGAUCCUUCCUCCUGUCAUCAUCUGGCUCUUCUUCGUCAGACUGAAGAUGUGAUGGUUCCGGUUCCGGAGCUGCAGCCCAUCACCUUUUACCAGCAGAAGCUUCAGUCAAACUUCCAGGACAAGUUCAUGUGUGCUCCAGAGGGCUGGGCAGACGAUCAGCAGCCUCUGGUUGAUUUCUACACAGACCUGUGCAUGACAGCAGGGCGCCAUGUUCACAUCCACACGCAGCACGAGAUCCAACAGCUCGAGAGGACAUCACAGCCAGCAGAACCGGAGAAUCCAGUCCACCCCAGGGACAUCUUUAGACAUCAGUCUGGACGGUACAGACCCAUAAAGACCGUGCUGACCUAUGGAAUCGCAGGAAUUGGGAAAACCAUCCUCGUGCACAAGUUUGUGUUGGACUGGGCCGAACACAGGUCCAAUCAGGACGUCCAUCUGCUGUUUCCGUUCACCUUCCGCCAGUUAAACCUUCUGACGGGAGAGAAGUUCACUCUGAGCGAGCUCGUUCACGAAUGCAUUCCAGAAACAGUGGACAUCAGAGAAGAAGCUCUUAAUCACAUCUUCAGAACUCUGCAGUCAUCAGGAAACAGCAACUACGACAAGAGCAGGUUCAAACUCCUGUUUGUGUUUGAUGGACUGGAUGAGAGCCGCCUCCUUCUGGACCUUCGUGAUGAAGACGUUCGCUCUGCUGAUGUUACAAAGUCAGCUACAGCUGAUGUCCUGGUGAGGAAGCUCAUCAAUGGAAAACUGCUCCGCUCCGCUCGCAUCUGGAUAACCACUCGGCCUGCAGCAGCCAAUCAGAUCCCUCGAAGGUUCAUCAGCAGGACGAUGGAGGUCAGAGGCUUCACUGACCUUCAAAAGGAGGAGUACUUCAGGAAGAGAUUUAGGGAUGAAGAGCAGGCCAACAAAAUCAUCUCCUACAUAAAGACCUCCCGAAAUCUCCACAUCAUGUGCCACAUCCCGGUCUUCUGCUGGGUCGCUGCAACGGUUCUGGAGGAUGUGCUGAAAACCAGAGCAGCAGGAGAGCUGCCCAGGACCCUGACUGAGAUGUACACCGAGUUCCUGGUGUUUCAGAUUGAUCGAACCAAGGAGAAAUACGGCUCAGACAGGUGCUUUCACUACAUCAGAUCAUUAGCUAAGCUGGCUUUUCAGCAGCUAGACAAGGGCAACCUGAUCUUCUAUGAGACAGAUCUUAGACAGAGCGGCAUGGACUUCCACGAAGCUUCAGUAUGCUCAGGUGUCUUCACAGAGAUCUUCAAGGUGGAGCGUAGAAAGAAAGACAAGAUGUUCAGUUUUGUCCAUCUAAGUGUUCAGGAGUUUUUAGCUGCUAUUUAUGUCAGAAUGUCGCUCAACAGCAACAAAAACCUCAUGACCUUCCCUCAGCUGUCCCUGAAAAACCUCCAACUGAUUUUAAACAGAACAUCUUCAAAGAAGAUCCACAGGAUCUUCAUCGACAAGGCUCUACAGAGUCCAAAUGGACACCUGGACCUGUUCCUGCGAUUCUUUCUAGGUCUGUCUCUACAGGCGAAUCAGAAGAAACUAAAGGACUUCCUCACCUCCAGUAGCUCAGAGACCAAUGAACACACAAUCCGCUACAUCAAGAUGAAGAUCAGUGAGAAUCAGUCUGCAGAGAAGAGCAUCAACCUGUUCCACUGCCUGAACGAACUGAAUGAUGGUUCUCUAGUGGAGGAGAUCCAACAGUACCUGAGUUCUGGGAGUCUCUCCACGGAUUCACUGUCUCCUGCUCAGUGGUCCGCUCUGGUCUUCAUCCUACUGUCAUCAGGAGAUCUGGAUGUGUUUGAGCUGAGGAAAUAUUCAGCGUCUGAGAAGGCUCUUGUGAGGCUGCUGCCGGUGGUCCGAGCCUCCAGCAGAGCACUGCUCAAUGAUUGUAACCUGUCAGAGAGAAGCUGUGACGCUCUGGGACCAGUUCUCAGCUCUCCGACAUCCUGCCUGAGAGACCUGGACCUGAGUAACAAUGACCUUCGGGAUUCAGGACUCAAAGUGUUGUCUGCCGGACUGGAGAAUCCCAUCUGCAGACUAGAAGUUCUCAGGCUUCCAGGCUGCAUGAUCACAAAGGAAGGCUGCUCUUCUCUGGUUUCCGCUCUGACCAUUAACCCCCACCAUUUAAGAGAACUGGACUUGAGUUACAAUCACCCAGGACAAGAAGGAAUGCAGCUGCUUUCUGCUGGAUUACAGGAUCCUCGUUGGAGACUGAACCUUCUCAGACUGGAGCACGGGGGCGAGCAGAGGAUGGUACCUGGACUGAGGAAGUAUUUCUGUCACCUCACUAUAGACCUGAGCACUGUGAGCAGGAAGAUGUGGCUGUGUGAGAAUAACCGUAGGGUGGUGGGGGUGAGGGCCAAGCAGCCGUACCCUGAUCACCCCAACCGGUUCCAGGCCUGUCAGCUGCUGUGUUCUGAUGGUUUGACUGGGCACUGUUUCUGGGAGGUCUGGUGGAGAGGAGGUGUCUACGUGGCCAUCAGCUACAGAGGAAUCAGGAGGAAGGGACCCAGCGCUGAUUGCUGGUUUGGGUGGAAUCGUCAGUCCUGGAGCAUCUUCUGCUGCAACGAUGAAGAGUACUACGCCUGGCACGAUGGGAAGAGGACGGUCCUCUCCUCCUCCUCGUCCUCCUCCUCGUCCUCUAACAGAGUAGCAGUGUAUUUGGACUUUCCAGCUGGGGUUCUGUCUUUCUACAGAGUGUCCUCUGGCUCUCUGCUCCACAUCCAUACCUUCAUCACCACCUUCACUGAGCCUGUUUAUCCUGGUUUUGGGUUCUGGUUAGCAGGUUCCUCCUUCUCCUUCUGUGGAGGUGAAGAUGUCUGUCACAGGGUGGUGAUGUUGCGCUAAUGUUCUAUUUUAUAUUGCAUGUUUUACUUGUUUUUAUUCUGAUGUGCACGUUUUUAUUGAUGGUGUGUUUUUAGUUGUUUUGGUGCAACAUUGUGUGUUCAUUCUGUAAUCACCCCGAUCAUCUACACCUGUAGCAGAGUGUUUCCUGGACUGCCAGUUAAUGGACAGACGCAGGCAGGACAGGUUUUAUUUAAAGGGAGGAGCGCGUGAACACAGAGAGAGAGGGCCAGGAUGGCAGACAGGGCCAGCUAGAGGCAGAGACACACCCCGGACGGCGUCUUGAGGACGCAAGUGCCUGCCCCCCCCCCCCUCCCCGCCGGAACAGAGGAGCACCCGUACGGUCCUGGAUGAUGGACGGCGGCCGAGUGCGGAGGAGCGUGGGUGUCCCUCCCUCCACACAUGUGCGGCGCGCGUACAGGUGCCACUGAGUCCGGUUGGGGUCUUGGACCGAGGAGGGGGUUCACCAGCGGCACGUCAGUAGCAGCGGCGGAGAAAGAGGGAUCCGCGGCCGGAGGGCCAGGCACGGGGCGGAACACGGCAGGCGGGCAGAGUAUCUGCCCCUGCGAGGACCGAGGAGGAGGAUUGAAUCCACCGGCCGUCCAGCCUGUGGAUCCCCGCGGACGACGUUCACCGCAGGAGGGCGGGGUCGUAGAGGUUUCACCUGUCAAGCGCAUGCAGGGGCGGACUGGACUGCCUUAUCCUCUGGGGGCCCAGUAGACUUUAUUGUGGGGGUCAUCUUGGGCAUCAUAAUAUGAGCUUUUAGAAUAAAUUCUGUUUUUGAAUUUG